GAUGAACGCUAGCUACAGGCUUAACACAUGCAAGUCGAGGGGCAGCAUGAACUUAGCUUGCUAAGUUUGAUGGCGACCGGCGCACGGGUGAGUAACACGUAUCCAACCUUCCGUUUACUCAGGGAUAGCCUUUCGAAAGAAAGAUUAAUACCUGAUAGUAUGGUGAGAUUGCAUGAUAACACCAUUAAAGAUUUAUUGGUAAUGGAUGGGGAUGCGUCUGAUUAGCUUGUUGGCGGGGUAACGGCCCACCAAGGCGACGAUCAGUAGGGGUUCUGAGAGGAAGGUCCCCCCACAUUGGAACUGAGACACGGUCCAAACUCCUACGGGAGGCAGCAGUGAGGAAUAUUGGUCAAUGGACGAGAGUCUGAACCAGCCAAGUAGCGUGCAGGAUGACGGCCCUAUGGGUUGUAAACUGCUUUUAUAAGGGAAUAAAGUGAGUCUCGUGAGACUUUUUGCAUGUACCUUAUGAAUAAGGACCGGCUAAUUCCGUGCCAGCAG
rnacentral:rRNA from 1 species